rnacentral:rRNA from 1 species
GCUAGCGCAGUGUCGCAGGGAAGCCGUUAAGUUUGCCGCCUGGGAAGUACGUACGCAAGUAUGAAACUUAAAGGAAUUGGCGGGGGAGCACCACAAGGGGUGAAGCCUGCGGUUCAAUUGGAGUCAACGCCUGAAACCUUACCCGGAGAGACAGCAGAAUGAAGGUCAAGCUGAAGACUUUACCAGACAAGCUGAGAGGUGGUGCAUGGCCGUCGCCAGCUCGUGCCGUGAGAUGUCCUGUUAAGUCAGGUAACGAGCGAGAUCCCUGCCUCUAGUUGCCACUAUUACACCCUGGUGUAGUAGGGCGAAUUAGGGGGACCGCCGCAGUUAAUGCGGAGGAAGGAAGGGGCCACGGCAGGUCAGUAUGCCCCGAAACUCUGGGGCCACACGCGGGCUGCAAUGGUAACGACAAUGAGUUCCAAAAUCGAAAGAUAGAGGUAAUCCCUAAACGUUACCACAGUUGUGAUUGAGGGCUGCAACUCGCCCUCAUGAACAUGGAAUCCCUAGUAACCGCGUGUCAUUAUCGCGCAGUGAAUACGUCCCUGCUCCUUGCACACACCGCCCGUCGUUUCAUUGAAGUUUGCCUUUAGCGAGGUGAUGUCUAAUUGGCAUUAUCGAACUUGGGGUAAGUGACAAGGGAAAAGUCGUAACAAGGUGACCGUAGGGGAACCUGCGGUCG